UAAUGAUCCGCCGGGCGGGUUGGAAGGGUUGGUAACACUGUUGUAUUGCUUAUGAAGAGUUAACGUUGUUAGAGAGAGACGUUGUUGACGUUAAUUUAUGAAGUUGAACUGAAAUAGAUUGAAGCCAGUAUAAUGGGCAAGUUUCUUUCUCAAGUGGACAGUGAGGCUUCAGUAACUCCCAUGUUAGACAUUUUGAAAGAAAAGAAGAAAAAGAAGAAAAAGGUGAAGGAAGUUGAAGAAUCAGAAUACACAACCUAUGAAAACCUUCAGCCUGAAGAACCUGUGGAGUUAUUGCCAAAAAAGAAGAAAAAGAAUGAAAAGG